UAGCUAAUGGAUUGAAAGUUGGGUAAUCCUUAAAGAGGAUCUUCUUUCUUUGACAUGUAAGUGAAUUUAAGGGUUUUAUUUUCAGGUUAGUUAAUAAGAUCUGUUAUAGGAAUCAACCACAUAUCUAAUGUAGGAAAAAUGAUGUAUGUUAGCAUCUAAUGAUAGAGUAGUGUAUGGAGAAGAAUAUCAUAGUUUUGGAAUAGUGUUGCCCAUGAGAUGUAUGUUAUUUUUUAAGCCUUGAGUUUUGUGUUGCCUCUACGGCAAAAGUUAUAGAGUAUAUCAUAAGUUAGAAAUAGGGAAAUAGUGUAAACUGUUGCCCAUGAGACAUAUAUAAUAUAUUUUAAAACCCUUGAGCCACUUUUUGCCUCUAAGACAAUAGUUAUUGUGUUCCCCGUAAGUUAGACUUAAUGAAAAUGGUGUAAACUGUUGUCCUUGAGGUGCAACUUGUUCCUUGAAAGUCUUAGGGUUAAGUCUUACUUCUAAGACAAGAGUUAUAGUCUUAUAGAGCAUCUCAUAUAUGAAGGCACAAUGUGGUAGCGUCAAGUCUUUCCCAUAGGGCUUAACUUGUUGUUUGGAAGUCCUUGAGCUAAUAAGCCCUACCUCUAAGAGAAUAGUUAUAGAAUAUAUCAUAAAUCAUGAUUUCUUGCUCAUGGAGCAUAACUUAUUCUUUGGAAGCCCUUGGACUAAGUCUUGCCUCUAAGGCAAGAGUUAUAAAGCAUAUGAUAAAUCAAGACACAAUGAAGUAAUGUCAAGUCUUGCCCGUGGGGCGUAACUUGUUGUUUUGAAGUUCUUGGCGUAAGUCUUGCCUCUAAAGCAAGAGUUAUAGAGCAUCUCAUAGAUCAAGAUACAAUAAAAUAGUGUCAACUCUUGCCCAUGGGGUGUAGCUUUUUGUUUUGAAGUUCUUGGUCUAAGUCUUGCCUCUAAGGCAAGAGUUAUAAAGCAUAUCAUAAAUCAAGACAGAAUAAGAUAGUGUCAACACUUGCCCAUGGGACAUAACUUUAAGGCUCACAGUACCCAUCCAUUUAUCAAUCCAAAAACUUGUUUUUCUGCCAUUUCGAACUUUGACAGUUAAUUGAUUACUGAGAAACUGCCAGAAUAUUCUAAUGGAUUUCCAGAGGCUAAUACCAUAAGGAGUGUUGACCUCUUUAGUUACCCAUGUGUUCAGUUGCUCAUACUUGCUCUUGAUUACCCUGUACCAGAGGGCUUGGUCCUCCUGAUGGUACCUCCAUAGCCACUUGACCUUGAGUGCUUUGCUUUGGUAUUUAAGGUUCUUGAUACCUAGUCCACCUUGUUCUUUGCUUCUGAUAAUGUUCUUCAUUUGACCAAAUGUAAACCUUUCCUUUCCUUAUUACCUUGCUACAAGAAGUUUCUUCUGAUUUUAUCCAACCUUUGAACUACUGACUGGGGUAUAUGGAAGAUAGAUAACAUAUAUGUAGGGAAGGCAUCUAAAACUGAGUUAAUCAAAGUUAGUCUACCUCCCAAGGAUAGAUAUUGUGAUCUCCAUCUGGCUAAUUUCUUUUCACAUUUCUCCAGAAUUGGAUUCCAAAUAUCUAUGGACCUAUACUCAUCCCCCAGAGGCAUGCCCAAGUAUAUUGAUGGCAAAGUGCCUAUCGCACCUCCCAGGAUCUGAGAAAGGUGAUCCAUUUCUGGAACCACAUUAAUUGGAUACAAGUGGCUUUUGUUCCAAUUUAUAUGGAGCCCAGAAAUGGCUUCAAAGUACACCAAUAUAAGUCUUAUUAUCAAGAGUUGCUCCUCCUCAGCCCCACAAAAAAAUGAGUGUAUCAUCAGCAUAGUGCAGAUGUGUGAUCUCUACACUGUUUCCAGCAACCUUGCUAACUUCAAAUCCCUGAAUUCUUCCUGUUAUCUUAGCUACAUUAUGCAUGUUGUCGAGUCCCUCCAUGGCUAUGAUGAACAGGAAAGGGGAUAGGGGAUCCCCUUGCCUGAUCCCUCUAUGUGCAUUGAAGAAUCCUUCAGGUGACCCAUUAAUGAGUAUUGAAAACUUCACAGUUGAGAUACAGAACUUGAUCCAGCUGGUCCACCUCCCACCAAAACCCAUUUGACUCAGCAUACUUAAAAUGAAUUCCCAGUUCACAUGGUCAUAUGCUUUCUCAAUAUCAAGUUUGCAUAAUAUACCGGGUUUUUUCUGGGUCACUCUGGAAUCAAUUGCUUCAUUAGCUAUGAGCACUGCAUCUAUUAUUUGCCUGCCUUUGAUAAAAGCCAUUUGUUGCUUGUCUACCAAUUUAUCCACAACUCUCUUGAGUCUUUCUGUCAGUACCUUGGAAAUCAGCUUGUAAAAGCUUCCAAUUAAGCUGAUGGGUCUGAAGUCUUUGAGUUCCUUUGCUCCUGUCUUCUUAGGAAUCAGUGCUAUGUAAGUUGCAUUAUAGCUUUUUUCAAACAUCCCAGUUGAGUGAAAAUUAUGGAAUGCCCCCAUAAUGUCUUGUUUAAUGAUGUCCCAACAUUUUAGAUAAAACCCCAUUGUGUAACCAUCAGGGCCAGGGGCUUUGUCUAUAGCACACAUCUUUAGACACUCAAAAACUUCUUGCUCCUCAAACGCAGCCUGCAAUACUUCAUUCUCAUCCGCUGUAAUGGUAGGAUGAUUGCUAAUAUUUUCAGAAGGCCUCCACUCUUCAGGUUCUGUAUAUAACUUCUUGUAGAAGGAAAUGAUUUCUUCCUUGAUUCUAUUUGGCUCAGAUAUGGUCUCUCCCUGCACUUCCAGCUGAUCAAUGUGGUUAUAUCUCUUGUGGGCAUUAGCAGUUUGAUGAAAAAACUUUGUAUUCCUAUCCCCUUCCUUGAGCCAUAAAGCUCUUGAUCUCUGCCUCCAGGCCACUUCCUCAUUCUUUAAGCACCCCUCAUACUCCAUGAAAAGUGUUGCUUUUUUGGCUAUUUCCUCCUCUGUUAAAGCUCUACUGUUUAGAUGUGAAUCCAGCUCAGCCAUCUGUAUGAGAAGGUUGUUCUUUUGCAAAUUCAGAUUUCCUUGUUCAUUUCUGCUCCGUUCUUUCAAUUUCCCUUUGAGAGCUUUGAGUUUACAUGCUAAGAUGUAAUCAGGGUUCCCAUAGAAUUCGAAAGCAUUCCACCAGUCUUUGAUUCUUUCAACAAAACCUUCUUGGUUUAGCCACCAAUUUUCAAACUUCAAAAUAGGAUUUGGAUUGCUCUCAGUGUCCACAGAAAAGAGCUAUAGGAACAUGAUCUGAAAUCACUCUUUGCAGAGUAGUCUGCUUUAGGCUAUUGAAAAGAUUAUUCCAUUCUAUGGAGACCAGAAUCCUGUCAAUUCUACCUGCAGUGGUAUGGUUAUCACCUUUGUACCAAGUAUAUCUUCCACAACCUAGCUGUGGAUCAAUGAGGUCCAUGUCCUCAAUGCAAUCUGAGAGCUCUCUCAUUGCUGAAUUUCUCUUGCUACAAUCCCUUUUUUCAGAGGGAAAUCUACAAACAUUGAAGUCACCACAGAUGGCCCAUGGUCCAUCCAUCAAUCCUCUUACAUCAGCCAAUUCCUCCCAUACUAGCCUCCUCUCCACUUGACUGUUGGGAGCAUACACACUAGUAAUAUGACAUUCGAAAUUGCUUAACUGAGCACCUGACCUUGCAAGACAUAGUAUAGGCUCCAACUUGUAAAGUUUCCCCUUCCCAAAUUCUAGAGUCCCAUAGUAUUAGGAUUCCACCUCUGGUUCCACUGGCCUCCAGACAUGCAUAUUUAAUCCAUCUCCCUGCCCAAAUUUGUUUGAUUAAUUCUUGUACAUUGCCUUCUAGUUUUGUCUCCUGGAGGCAGACUGUCUGCUUUCCAAUCCUAAAUCAUAUUUGUGCCCACCAUUCUCUGCCCCUGACUUUCCAAUCCUGAAUCAUAUUUUGUACCACCAUUCUCUUCCCCUGAUCCUUCAACCCCCUAACAUUCCAUGAGAUUAAUUUGAUCUUCAUGGAGUAUUCUGUGAGCUCCCCUUCCCCUUCCCUCUGUCUCCAUUGCUUUUGAAUUUAACAUCAAAGGAUAUCAGAUUCUUUAACUCUUGUGCUCCUUUAUGUUUUGUUCUCUUAACUUCUAUUGACCUCUCCAUUUUUCUUACUUGCCUGCUUGCAUCCACCUGCUUAAGGAGUUCAAGUGCUUCCUCUUCCAUCCCCUGGAAAUCCACUCCAAACAUCUUAUGGAGUUUCAAUAAGUUUUGAUGAAUCCAGGCUGUGGCCUUCCUCUCCGUUUCAGUAAGAGCUCCUUGUUGUUGUGUACAAAGGGGUUCGAUCUCCUGUACAUCCCAUAAUUCCCCAGAAUUUUCCAUCCCCAUUAUUUCCUGACUUCAAAUAUCCUAACUAUAGCUAUAAAACCCCAACUAUAACAACGAUUGUACUUCUUUUAAAAUAUAGUUGUGUAUAGUAAAUACAUAUCACAUGUUUGCCUUACUAUAUCAUUUUUUCUAUUUAAAAGUGGAGGUGGGUCAUUUGGUUAUGAGCUUGCCACAUGUCCCUCUGUCAAAAUUAAGGGAAAAUUUGUGUCGAAGUAUAAUGGGAGGGGUAUAUUUGGAUCGAAAGUAUAACGAGAAGGGUAUAUUUAGACCAAAAGUAUAACAAGGGAUGUAUUUGACCCUUUUCUGUUUCUAAAAUAACCAUCUUGUGAAUAUGAUGUGACCUUAGAUGCUUAGCAUUCACUAUAAUAUAGCAUUCAUGGUGUCACAACCACCCUACAAAACUUGCAUAUUGCUUUGGCAGGUAGAUACCUAUCUCAUAACCCUCACGUAGAACUCCUCCAGUUAAGUGGUUCUGUUUUAAUUUAUAGGUAUAGCAUCUUCAUCAAUUAUACAUUUCUCUCUUAAAAUUGAGAUAUUAGAUAUAUGAAUUAUCUGCAUUUGAGCAAAGUCCGUUUAAUCUCACAUCAAUUUCAUAUUUCCUAUGCAGGCUAAACUUGAAGUAUGUAUGUUUUGUGUUACUACUAACAAUCUAAAUAAUUGCUACCAUCUAUAGUGUUUUUUCACACUCAAACUUUUGAUUGAUUCCUCCGCUAGUUUUGUUAAUUAACACCGCAUCAUGUUCAAAUAGCAUACACCAUGGAACCCUAUAUUUUUAUACUACUGAUUAGCUCAUCCAAUGGGUAAACAAAGUAAGGCUCAAGAUAGAUAUCGAAUGUAAAUCCCCCUCUUUAAAAAAAUUCUCUACUAUCUCUUCCAUUAUUCACAUACGUGAUAGUUCCUUUGUACUUAUCCUUUAUGACAUUUAUAUAUUUGAUCUGAAUUCUUUCUUCGAAUUGACUAUUGUUACAUUGGCUGUUAACCUUCCAAAAUUCUCCUCCUUUGUUUGAGAUUGAAACGGGCGAUGCGAAACUCAAAUAAGAUAUGAUUCCUUCAUAGGGGAAGUUGAAAAAUCAGUAAUGUUAUCCAAUUCAAUAUAAUGUCCUAAGGGUUAAAUGCUAUAAGACAUUCAUGUUACACAGUUAGUUUGGUCAUGAUAUGUCCCUUGUUGAUGUGAAAACACAAAAACACUGUCACUGACUAGUUAUGUCCAUUUAACUUUUCAUUUUUGUUCUCGACUGGUUCUGGCAUAAAAUUUCUUCAGGCAUCCGGCUUUGUAGUUUCUGUUUUCUUCUUCUCCCUUUGACUUUACUGGUUCAUUUUUUUCAAUGUUUUCUCUCUUUAAGCAGAAUGUCAUGCAUUAUAAUGCAACUGUUGUCUGUUAAUAGUUGUCAAACUAUGUAAUAUGUAUAUUCUUAGGCCUAAAGCUUUAUAAUCUCUUUGGGAAGCAUAACUAGGUAUGUUGGUAAGGUUGGAAAUACUCGGAACAUAUGCCCCCACAUUGGUUGUUAAUUUUGUUUUAGAACCCAGUUGGGCAACAUUUCAUGAACUUGCAAUUUUAAUAUAAUGAACAGGCGUGUGAUCUUGUUUCUAUGACCCCUUCAUGGAAUCAUGGAAAUUGGAAUACUAAAAUCCCCAAGAUUGCUCUUUCUAAACUCAUAUAUUGCAGAAAUUGAUUUCCGUAUUUUGAAUUUAAAUAUCUUGACAAUUUCUUCACUCAUAUUUGUAAAUUUUACGGGAGCUGUGGGGCUGUCCUCACUUUAAUUUUUUUGCAUGCAGCUGUGAGACGUUGUGGAUCAUGGAUUUAGCCUCAGGCUUGAUCACAGAGGUUGUUAGAGGUAUAGAAAGUAUUGCCAAACAUGUUCUUAAGUUGUCUCUAUUCUAUCAGUUAGCCUUGUCAGUUGUUGACUCACCCAUACUCUAAAAGGAUUUUCAAAUAUUUUGGAGAUCUGUGAGCCAUUGAUCCUGGAGAAGUCGAUGCUUUUGAAUGAAAUACCUAAUGAUUGGUUGCAGCAGCGAGUGGAUGCACAUUGCUCGACAAAGAGAAUUCCAUAUGUUGAGCUCAUAUCUUCUGUGGAAACUUUUCAGGAUCAGAUACUCAUUUGUGAUACAGGUAAAAAUGUCUUCAAUGAUUGGAUCCGUUGUAGCAUUUGCUUUGCCCGAUCCAAUUUUUGAUUGUGUUUAUCUGUAGUUGGUUAGACGUUAUUAAAACUCAAUAGAAACUCGGGUUCUAUAUCAAGCUUCCAGUUUUCUAAUUUGGGGAUCCUUGGGUUUCCUUACUGGUCCUCAUCUCCUCUGGAACGAGUAUGUGCUGCGUAAGUGUAGCAGAUUAAAGAGGCCCAGUUAAGCCAUUUUUCUUUUCUGCUUUCUCUGGGCGAUUAUAUUAAUUUUGUUGUGAUGUUUGAUGCUGGUGUUACAGUGAUGCAGCAUUGGCAGCGAAUUCUAUUGAUCACAUAGAAUCUUUCAACUUGUUGCCAGGUAGUGGUUUAAAUAAUUUGUGAAAAAGCUCUUACCAGGAAAAAAGUUUACAACAAGUUUGUCACGCCCCAAACUCAUGGGGUGCAACUGGCUCCUAAUGCCAAAACUCAGGCUCGAGCCGCCCCUGCUGAACCAUUUGCUACUAGCACAUGGCAGUCACACGCAAUCAAGAAAACAAACAAGUAUAUCUCGGCUUAAAAUUAAGCCCUCGGCCGGCAAAGCCCCUGUCAACAGAUCUACAAAAGAAACAGUUACUCCCAAGAGUUCAUACGUCGAGGCCACCAUGAUCUCUAUACCGAAACUGAAAGCAGGUAUAUAUCAAAACAAUACAUCAAACAAUUAACAAGCUUCAACAAACCAACAAACUAGGCCAGCAUGGCCAUAACGUAGCUAUAUACCCACACACUAGUCUGCAAGCCUCUAAGAGUAGUAAAGAUUGGUGGGACAGGGCUCAGCCUAUCCAUAAAAAUAUAUACAACAAAAGCUAACAAACCUCUAACUCUGGCAGCUUCAGAGGAAAUGGGCUAGCCAAUCGGAUAGAAGUCAAUCAUGCUGUUGAGGAGGUCUACUGGGUCGUCUGUCGGGACCUGUAGGCAUGAAUGCAGUACCCCCAUACAAUGGGGCAUCAAUAUGAAAUAAUAUAUCGAGUAUAAAAGGCAAUAGACUAUGAGCAGGUAUCCUAAUAUACUGGGAGUAAUCCGAUAAAUAAAUCAAAAAUAACAUAAGUGUACUAACCUGCUCCUAAAUCUAAACAUAUCAAAAAUACUAAAACAACAGCCUAACCAAGCCCCCAUAAGCUCGGCAUGUACAAACAACACACAAGACCACCUACCUAGGCCCUCAUAAGGUAUCAAGCAAUCUAUAUACCCCUAUCGGUAGUCCCCUAGCCCCGUAGGCAGCCACAUAGUCCUCUUAGGCAAUAACAUAGCUCUCUCAGACAUCAAUAUAGCUUAUAGAUAACUCAUAGCCCUCUUAGAUAGCAACAUGGCCUUGUAGGCACCAUAUAGCCUUCUUAGGCGUCAAUAUAGCCCCGUAGGCUACUCAUAGCCCUUUUAGGCAUCAAUAUAGCCCCGUAGGCAACUCAUAGCCUUUCUAGGCAUCAAUAUAGCCCCGUAGGCAGAACAUAACUCUUCUAGGCAUAGAUCACAUUCUUGCAGCUAACCACAAUAUCCCCAAGGGCAACAAUAACAAUCCAAUAGGCUAAAAGCGAGCAAUUUAGCUAUAAGCAACCUAUACGAAUAGCCUCUAAGUCGUGUUCAACAUAGGGACGCUACUAACUGUAUAAGAAUCCCGACAAGAGAGGAUUAUUUCCACUCGAGCAACCAACAAUCAACAAUAAUGGCUACAAGGAUAACAACCCAAUUACAUUGCUCCUAAAGCUUUAAGGAAACAUGUUGUAAGAAGGGAAUAGCCUUAACAUACCUUUUUCGCUGAAUUCACGUGGCCUAAUGACUUUUACUCAUAACUCCCUCGAUACUACAACAAGGCAGGACCAUAAUCAACACACAAGAAUAGAAGAUACCACGAUAAUUCGAUAAAAGAUAUGUAUUUUCAUCGCAAAUUGCUAUUUGCGGCUUAUCAAAGCUAGAGUCGAUGAAAGAAGGGUCUUACCUUGAUCCUAAGUUCGUAAUACACCUCAAAACCUUAAAAUAUGUCCAAACCCUUGUUGUCCCAACACCAAAGUAUGAUAUGCUACGAAAUCGAUAAAACAAAUUAUACCAUGUUGACCAGCUCAACGCAUAGAACAACUUCGUCAAGGACUUAAGUUGAGAAAAUCUAUAAUUUGGUUGAUCCUAAAAGUGGGUUUUCUAAGUUUUCUGGUUCUUAACUGAAAAAAAUGAAGAAAAGUCGAAGAAGAAGAUAUAUAAAAAGUUCCACCGACCUAGGGCCCACCUCACGUGCCUGCUUGUGCAGUCUCGCAAAAAUGUGAAUAUCUCUCUAUUCUGAAGUCGUAUGAACGAACGGUUUGAUGCGUUGGAAACUAGACUCAUAGACCUUUGAUUUGAUAAGUCGUGGGCCCCAUAACUCUUUAUAGAUUGAGAGAAAACCUCUGAGACAUUUGACCCAAAUUUCAGAGAAAUCUCUAAAAAUGGACUUAUGAAACUUUCGCCAACUUUUAUUUUGCCACUUACCUAACUUCAAAACUUGAGAUACAACCCUUGAACACUUAAAAUAUGACAUGCCACAUCAUUCUUAAUUUAUUACCCAUCCUCUUUGUCUUUCAACGAAGAUACGAGUUAAUUUAGACGUUUUGAAAAGUCGGGGUGUUACAUUCUUCCCCCCUUAAAAACAUUCGUCCUCGAAUGAAAAAUGUGAGUCACGCGGUUAAGUCCUUCGGAGUUGCCAAAAUUUAGGCAGAGUAACCUUUGUAAAUGUGACUAUCAAAGGGCUACUGAUAGGGUAUGUAGAUUGAUUUGGCACCUUCUGGGCUUAUGGGGGCCUAGGUAGGUGGUAUGUUGUUUGUACCUGCCGAGCUUAUGGGGGCUUGGUUAGGUUUUUGUUGGGAGUCAGAUUGUUAGAGGCAGAUGAUAGUGGGGUCACAAUUCAGGACACAGCCGUAUCAUCUCUAGUUGUAGAGAGAAAAGCACGGCAACAAGAGGAUCCUAGCUUAGAGCAGCUCAGAGCCAAGACUCGGGAUCAUCAGUCUUUAGCAUUUGAUAUAGAAGGAGAUCGAGUCCUCGGAUAGAAAGGUCGAUUGUGUGUUUCGAAUGCUGCAGGGCUUCGACAUCAGAUUAUGGAAGAGACACAUCAUUCCUGUUAUUCUAUUCACCCUGGUUCGACGAAGAUGUACCAUGAUAUUAAGGAGAUCUAUUGGUGGAACGGAAUGAAGAAGGACGUUGCUGAGUUUGUGGCACAGUGUCCUAAUUGCCAACAGGUGAAGGUUGAGCACCAAAAGCCCGCUGGGUUAGUCCAUGAGAUAGUCAUUCCUUUGUGGAAGUGGGAAGCAAUUAAUAUGGAUUUUAUUAUAGGGUUACCUUGAUCGCGUCGUAAAUUUAACUCUAUUUGGGUAAUUGUUGACAGACUAACAAUCAGCCCACUACUUUUACAGCCGAAGACUAUGCAGGACUCUAUAUUAGAGAGAUUGUUAGGCUACACAGUGUCCUAGUAUCUAUUAUCUCUGAUAGAGGAGCACAAUUUACCGCUAACGUCUGGAAGUCCUUCCAGAAAGGACUGGGGACACAGGUUAAUCGUAGUACAACCUUUCACCCUCAGACAGAUAGCCAGGCUGAGCGCACAAUUUUGACAUUCGAUGAUAUGUUACGGGCGUGCGCGCUAGACUUCAAGGGAAGGUGGGAUGACCACUUGCCUCUUAUUGAGUUCGCAUACAAUAAUAGUUAUCAUUCCAGUAUCGGGAUGGCACCUUAUGAGGCUUUGUAUGGGCAAAAAUGUUGAUCCCCCAUUAGAUGGUUCGAGGUAGGUGAGUCAGGGUUGAUUGGACCCAACUUAGUACAACAUACAGUGGAGCAGGUUAAGCUCAUUCGGGAGAGGUUGCUAACAGCUCAAAGCCGACAGAAGUCAUACUCAGAUGUGCGACGAAGGGACUUAGAGUUUUGUGUCGAUGACUGGGUAUUCUUAAAAGUCUCGCCUAUGAAGGGUGUUAUGAGAUUUGGUAAGAAAGGCAAGCUUAGUCAAAGAUUCAUUGGGCCAUACCGGAUCCUUCAGAGGGUAGGACAAGUAGCUUAUGAGUUAGAAUUGCCUUUGGGGCUAGAAUCUGUUCAUCCAGUUUUCCAUGUAUCGAUGCUACGGAAGUGCGUAGGAGACCCUUCUCGGGUUGUCCCAGUUGAGGAUGUUCAGAUCACAGAGGAGUUGUCCUACGAGGAAACUCCAGUUUCCAUAUUAGAUCGACAAGUUCGUAAAUUAAGGACCAAAAAGGUGGCUUCAGUUAAAGUAUUGUGGAGAAAUAAGAAUAGAGAAGAGGUGACCUUGGGAAGUUGAGGAUGGCAUGAGGUCUAAAUAUCCUCACUUGUUUCAUACCCCAGGGUGAUGGUAUAUUAGUUUAUAUUAGUGCAGUAAGGUAAGAUACCUAUCUGAUUUUUUUUAUACUGUUGCUUAUUAUUAUAGUUGUCGUAUUUUUGCUCACACUGUUAUUGUGGAGCUAUAGUGCUUAGCUAUUUAUGUCGUCCUGUGAGACACCUAGAUUAGGAUUUCUGCGUUUCAGGUUCCUGGAUAGUAACAUUUACAAAGGAUACUUUGCCUAAAUUUUGGCAACUCCUAAGGACUUAACCGCGUGACUCACAUUUUUCAUUCGAGGAUGAAUGUUUCUAAGGGGGGGAGGAUAUAACACCCCGACUUUUCGAAACGUUUAAAUUAACUCUUACCUUCGUGGAAAGACAAAAAGGGUGAGUAAUAAAUUAAGAAUGAUGUGGUAUGUCAUAUUUUAAGUGUUCAAGGGUUGUAUCUCAAGUUUUGAAGUUAGGUAAGUGGCAAAAUAAAAGUUAUCGUAAGUUCCUUUUUAAAUAUUUCUCUGAAAUUUGGGUCAAAUGUCUCGGAGGUUUUCUCCCAAUCUAUAAAGAGUUGGGGCCCACGACCUAUCAAAUCGAAGGUCUACGAGUCUAGUUUCCAACGCAUCAAACCAUUCGUUCAUACGACGUCAGAAUAGAGAGAUAUUCGUGUUUUCGCGAGACUGUGCAAGCAGUCACGUGAGGUGGGGCCCUAGGUCGGUGGAACUUUUUAUAUAUCCUCUUCGACUUUUUCUUCAUUUUUUUUAGUUAAAAACUUAGAAAACUCAUUUCUAGGAUCAACCAAAUUAUAGAUUUUCUUGACGAAAGUUGUUCUACGUGUUGAGCUCGUCAUCAUGGUAUAAUUUAUUUUAUCGAUUUCGUAGCAUAUCAUAUUUUGUUGUUGGGACAACAAGGGUUUGGACAUGUUUUGAGGUGUAUUACGAACUUAAGAUCAAGGUAAGACCCUUCUUUCAUCGACUCUAGCUUUGAUAAGCUGCAAAUAGCAAUUUGCGACGAAAAUACUUAUCUUUUAUCAGAUUAUCGUGGUAUCUUCUAUUCUUGUGUGUUGAUUAUGGUCCUGCCUUGUUGUAGUAUCGAGGGGGGUUGUGAGUAAAAGUCGUUAGGCCACUUGAAUUCAGCGAAAAAGGUAUGUUAAGGCUAUUCCUUUCUUACGGCAUGUUUACUUAAAGCUUAGGAGCAAUGUAAUUGGGUUGUUAUACUUGUAGCCAUUAUUGUUGAUUGUUGGGUGCUCGAGUAACAAUAAUCCUCCCUUGUCGGGAUUCUUAUUCAGUUAGUAGCGUUCCUAUGUUAGACACGACUUAGAGGCUAUUUGUAUAGCUUGCUUAUAGCUAAAUUGCUCGCUUUUAGCCUAUUGUUAUUGUUGCUAUUGUGGUUAGCUACUGGAAUAUGAUAUAUGCCUAGAAGGGCUAUGAGUUGCCUAUGGGGCUAUAUUGAUGCCUAUGAGUUGCCUACGAGGCUAUAUUGAUGCCUAGAAGGGCUAUGAGUUGCCUACGGGGCUAUAUUGACGCCUAAGAAGGCAAUGUGUUGCCUACAGGGCCAUGUUGUUGCCUAAGAGGGCUAUGAGUUAUCUAUAAGCUAUAUUGAUGCCUAAGUGAGCUAUGUGCUGCCUACGGGGCUAGGGGUAUAUAGACUGAUUGACACCUUCUGGGGGCCGAGGUAGGUGGUCUUGUGUGCUAUUUGUACCUGCCAAGCUUAUGGGGGCUUGGUUAUGUUGUUGUUUUAUUAUUUUUGUUAAGUUUAGAUUUAGGAGCAAGUCAAUACACUUAUAUUAUCCUUGAUUUAUUUAUCGGAUUACUCCCAAUAUAUUAAGAUACCUGCUCAUAGUCUAUUGCCUUUCAUACUCGGUACAUUAUUUCGUACUGAUGCCCCAUUGCCUGGGGGUACUGCAUUCAUGUCUGCAGGUCUCGACAACCCAGUAGACCUCCUCAGCAGCAGGAUUGACUUAUAUCCGGUUGGCUAGCCCCUUUCCUCCGGAGCUGCCAGAGUUGGGAGGUUUGUUAGCUUUUGUUGUAUAUAUAUUUAUGGGUAGGUUGGGGUCAUGUCCCACUAAUCUUUACUACUCUUAAAGGCUUGCAGACUAGUGUGUGGGGUGUAUAGCUAUGUUAUGGCCUAGUUUGUUGGUUUGCUGAAGCUUGUUAGUUUUUUAUGUAUUGUCUUGAUAUAUACCUGCUUUCAGUUUCGGUAUAGAGAUCAUGGUGGCCUCAACGGCCCAAUCAGGACUUCUGUGCUAGUUGACUAUUUCUUUAUAUGAACUCUUGGGAGUAGUUGUUUCUUUUAUGGAUCUGUUGACAGGGGCCUUGUUGUCGAGGGCUUAAUUUUAAGUUGAGAUAUACUUGUUUGUUUUCAUGAUUGUGUGUGGCUGUGAUGCAGUAGCAAAUGGUUCAGUAGGGUCGGCUCGGGCCUGAGUUUUGGCAUUAGGAGCCAGUUGCGUCCCUUGAGUUUGGGGUGUGACAAACUUGGUAUCACCUGAUCUUUUGGUUGUUUAUCAAUACCUAUAAUUUUUAUCUUCGACAUUGUAUCUUCUUUUUCUAGAUCAUAAAAUUUUUUUAUCUUUCUUUACCUGUUAAAAAAGUUGGUUUUUUAGAGAUCAAUGUGAAAAAGAGAAAGUAGGCCAAGUUUUUCUAGAUAGAGGGAGUACUACAUGAUAAUCCCACUUCAUUUGUUUAACAGGUAAAAUUGACAUACGACUGAAUGUGGAUAUUCCAGAAUAUGUUGAUCUAAUUGAACCAUUGGGUGAAAGUUGUAUAUGGCGGCAAACUAGAGGGGCAGCAGCUGAAAUAUCCGAGGCAGAUAGCACAAUUACGUCUUCAGAAAAGGUUUCUGAUCACCUUUAGGCUUCAUGUAUUUGUAUUCAGCCAUAAAUUCUACUUCCUUCAUCCCAAGCUGAUUUUCCACUUCUCAUUUUUAGCUAGUUCCAAAAUAAUUUUCGAAAAGAAAGUCGUGGUAUAUACCAUGUACCGCAAAUAGUUAUCUGGGACCCUUUUUAAAAAAAAGAAUAUUGUUCAACAUUUUAUCUCAACAAAUGCCGAAUAAUUCAUUUUUAAACUCCUUCAGUAGCAGAGCAAAGUCAAACCAAUUAAGAGUUAAAUGGAUGGGGAUAUGCAGGUUGGUAUUGCCCAGCAAAGGUAUGAUGAAAUUGAACACCUUGCCUUUUCAACAUCAGAAAUAGAAGCAACCAUAGAAGAGAGGACAAUGAGCUGCGGUGACGAAAUUCCAGAAGGGAAAGUCGAGAUCAGUUGCUCCGUUAACUCAAGUCCUGGAACAAGUGAGGUACAUUAUUCUUCCCAGCAAUUUCCUUUUGAUUCUGAAUCACCGCGAUCCUCCAGGAUUUAUGUGAAAAUUUCUCACUGAAGUUGUUUAAAAUGAUACGUUAAUUGGUAUAGUUGUCCGUCCAGUCUAGAAAUUAUUCACAUUUUGACCUUAAUUUCAGAUUAAAAAAAUGCUGAUUUAGUCAUUAUGUGAUUGUCUUCUCCACCAGGUUUUCAUUUGUGCUGCACUAUAUCUUAGACUGAAAAAGGAUUCAGAUGCCUGUAGUGGCGGUAGACAGAGGAAAGCAGCUAGAAUAGCAGAUUUGCUCAACCCUGGGACAAGGGCAAGCAAAGAUUUAGUUGUUCAGUUCUUGUUGGCAUCAAAUAGAGAUCUUGAAGAAGUUAUCAUAACAAGACCUGUACAUGUGAAACUCAAGUUUGAUUGUCCAAAGCAUCCAAAAGCAGAUAAUUCCAAAGAUAUAAUUAUGACAGACACCUCUGUAAAUGUGAAUGUUGCUCUAAAGUAAAACAUUUAAUAGUCUAGUGUAUGAUUCUUGAUGAUAUUAGAGGCUCAUUAUUUUUGUAUCAAUGAGUGGCUUACUAUCUACUUAAUAGUUGAUUUUUAUGUUGCACUGUUGAUAAUUUCUGUAUGGAGCUGUAAAAUUAAAAGUUCUAAAUGUUCAUGUUUCCUGCAUAAUUUUAUGAACUUUUUGCCUGUGACACUGCUAGUUAUUUUGGUGAAUAUGACAAUUAUUUCCUUUGAUUUUUAAGUCAUAUAUGAUAGUUUUAACUUAAGAAACAUUGAUGAUAGUGAUAGCAAAAUAAGUAUCAUCAGAGGUCUUUCGAAAAUAACAUUUCUAUAUCAUGCUGGUAGUGGUAAGGUCUGUGUACACUCUAUUUUUUCAAAACCUCACUAGUGAGAUUUCAUUGGGUAUGUUAUUGUUGUUGUUUGUUGUUGAUCAGAAUGUAAAUUUUGUGUACCAUGUAUUGGAUGACUGUGUCUCGAUGAUUUUAAAAUAUACUUUAAAACUAAUAAAAUAAUUUAUAAGAAGAUAAGAGAAUUAUUUUUAUUUACAUAAAUAUAUUAUAUGUUAAUUUCAUAACGAAAUAAUAUAAUAAUAACAAAGAAUAUUUUAAAAAAUUCAUUGAUAAUUGAAAUUAUUCAUAGAAUAGCACAUACAAACCAUACAUAUUAAAUAACUUUUUUGUAACAUACAUUAUUAGUGUAAGACUAUCAAGUCUCAAUUAUUUAUUGCAACAAGUAAUAUGUUUCUUAAAAAAAAUCAAUCUACAAAAAACAAGCACAUUAUAUAUCAAAAAAUUUGAAAUAUCGAGAAGAUUUUAUAUCUCAAUUUAUGGAACAGUGUAGAGGUGAUUUUGAGUUAAUUGAAAUUGAAUAGUCCGUAUAUACUUUACGUAUAAUCAAGUUGUAUUCAACUUUUUGAGUGUAACAUAAUGUAUAGUUCAUGUAUAGGUAAACUAUUUUUUAUAGUCGGUAUAUAUUUUCUAUGACUUUUAACUAUAUUGUUGUAGACAUUGAAAUUUUGUGCUACUCUAUAAAAUGUGUUCAAUUCAAGUUUGGAUUCUACAAAAUUGUUCAAUUCCAAUUAUGAUUCUUGGAGGCUACUCAAUCCUAAACCCUAGUUCAUGCCUAUAUAAAAGGUACUAUAUUCCCUUAAAAGGCAUCUCGAAUAUUUCGUAAAUUUAUGGAAUAUUCAUAAAGGGAUCAUCCAAAUCAUCCUAGUUCAGGAAAUACAACACUAACGGCCCUCGAAUCACAAAAAAAAUAUAAAGGAACAUGAAACAUAAUUUUAUUUAUCAAGAUUGUGAGUACAAAUUUGUUGAUUUUGCUUUCUUAAGAUUUAUCCAUGAUUCGAUUUAUCCAAUAAAGAAACAUGAAUCAUAAUUUUAUUUAUCAAGACUGUGAGUACAAAUCUAUUGAUUCUACUCUCCUAAGAUUUAUCCAUGAUUCGAGGGCCGUUAGUGGCGUAUUUCUCGAACUAAGAUGAUUUAAAUUUGAUCUCUAUAUGAAUAUUUCAUGACUUUUGUGGAAUAUCGAGAUGUCUUUUAAGGGAAUUUAGUACCAUUCAUAUAGGCAUGAACUAGAGUUUAGGGUUGAGUAGCUCCAAGAAAUCUAAUUGAAACUGAACACACCUUUUAAAGUCCCAAUUUAAAUUGAACAUGUCUUGUAGAAUCCCACAAAAUUUCAAUGUCUAUAAUUGUAUAAUCAAUGUAUAUAUUUUAUGAUUUUCGAUUAUAUUUUAUAUAAAUAAAAUAUAAAUAUACUAUUAUAAACUAGCCCAUAAAUAUUUAGAAAAUAUUAAAUGAGCUUUUUGAAAGUUGUCAAGGGAAGAGACAGGUAGCUUCUCGUGAAACGCGUGAAUUCUUCUACACGCCAAGAAUGACCAAGUCACGUCAAUGCAAAAAUUGACAUAAAAUAAAUAAUACUUAUUUACUUUUCUUUAGUUUAAGAAGUUAUCGACGACAUUUUAGUAGUUGAGUUGAUUGAUCUAAAAAAAUAAAUUGAAAUUAAUGAUAGAAAAGUUUUGUAGCUAAAUAAUAAUUUUUUUCGUUAAUUCUAUUUAGUAAUGAAUUAGCGAUAAAUUUCUGAUAGUUACGAGAAAAAUAACGAUGAAUAGCUAAUUUUAGUUUUUUUAUUUAGCAGUGAAGGUGUUCAGUGAGAAGGAAAAUAUUUUUGAAGAAAUUUGAGUUCAAUACGUAAGGGAAAAAAAUAUUACUCUAAAAAUAUUUGUAUAUAAUCUAGAUAGAUAUUAUGUAAGAUGAGAGUAGAGGUAGGGGUAAGAGUCGGGGCGGCGGGGGGGGGGGGUGUACAAGGCUACGAAUUUAGGAAUGAAGAUGAAGUGUGUUGGAGGUAAUAAUAACACAAUUUAUAUGGAAUGCACACUUAUUUUCUCUAUUUUCACUAAAAAAAUAAAUCAUUUUCUUGAUUUUUCAAAAACUUAUUUUCACAUAAAUAUACUAACUACCAAAUGUUGCAUUGGUUAUAUAUAUAUAUAUAUAUAUAUAUAUAUAUGAUACGAUGAUUAUUCUUUUUGAUCGGUAAUCAAACACUAUAUUAUCUUAUAUGACCUUUUAUAGUAAAAUUAUUAUUCCACUAUAUAUUAUCAACCAAAUGACCCCAAAAUAAUAUUGUUAAGAUAUGUCAAUAAUUUUUUAUUUGAACAAUAUAUAUAGUUUAUGAACAACUUUUAAAUGAUAAGUGUUGAUAAUAUCAAACACUAAAAGAAAACUGUGAAUUACAUGGGGAUUUUUCUGGGAAUUUUCAUACUAAUCCCCAGGAAAAUCCCAUAUAAUUCACAUUUUUUUUGUAGUGAAAACUUAUGAUAGGUUGGAUUGUAACAAUCUAUUCCUAUAAUUAUAGUUUUUGAAUUUAACUAUUGAGAAUAAAGUUCUCUUAACCUGAAGUAAUCUAUUUUGGAAUUUAGAUUAAUGUUUUCUGAUAUUAAUUACUACUAAUAUUUAAAGCAAAUCCAAAAAGUAACGUACUUUUUACUAUCAUCAAGGAAUAAUAUAAACCGUCAUGAGAUUUUACACUAAUUAACUUAACAUAUUUAUUCCCUUGUUUCAACUUUCAAUUUAUACUUUUUUUUCUUUAUUACACAUAAAAAUAAUGUUACUAUAUUAAAUAAUUUUUUUAAUUAACAUCCUUUGUAACAUAUUUAAGAAUAUUAUUAUUAUAAUAAUAAUAAUAAUAAUAAUAUUACUAUUUUAAAUAUUAUUUAUAAUUAAUAAAGGGAGUUGCAUGUCCAUCAUAACGUAUGAAAGUGGCUAUCAUCGAAUAUGAUAUUGUGGAUGAAGUUGUUCAUUUCUUAAUUAAAUGUUUUAGUUUUGAGUAUUGAAUAUGAAAAAUCUUUAAUAAAAAACGUUACUUUCAAAUGGAUCCUAUAUGGUAUAUUAAAUUAAUUAAAUUUCAAUACGAAUAUAAGUUAGUCAGACUCCAAUACGAAUGCACGGAAAAAAGAAGUUAUGGAAGUGACAGCCACCGGUUUAGGGAGCUGGAGUUAGGUUUAGGAUAUAACAACGUUUAAUAAAGCAUUACGCGUAUUGUUGUUUAUUUAUUCUUUUUUAAAAAAAUAUUUUAAUUUUCUCUUUCUUUGUUUCAUUCUUUACAAAGAUUUUUUUUUCUUUUUUUAAAAAAGAAGUCUUCAAAGUUCAAAUAUGUUGCAAAUUGAACCAAACUUCAUUAACAUAACUUUAUAAUAUAUCAAGUUGUUUAAUAUAAUGAAUUCAACAAGUUAUUUGAACUCGUGUCUAUAAUUAUUAAAAAUAUAUUAUAAAUAUUUCUUCAGGCGGCUCCAGGAAGAAAGCCUUAAAUUUCAUUUGAUAUAUAUAUAACUCUCUUGAUUUUUAAAAUAUUAUUUUGAUAUAAGAAAUACAUAAUAUGAAACGACAAAGUAUAAAAUAGGAAAAAUGGUCUGAAAGAUAUUUUAACUUUGGCCGAAAUUGUUGUUACGAUACCAAAUUUUAUGGAGGACCUUUUACCCCUGCACUAUUUAAUAGUAUAUUUUAAAGGUAUAUAUGUGCCCACGUGGACACAUUACUAUUUAAAAUAAUGAAAUAUUUAUGAUGUCCACGUAGGCACAUAUAUACCUUUAAAAUACAUUAUUAAAUAGUAAGGGGGUAAAAGUUCAUUUCCAAAGUUUGAUAUCGUAACAGCAAUUUCGACCAAAGUUAGAGUAUUUUUCAGACCCUUUUCCCUAUAAAAUACUACUCCCAUAGUCACAUAUUGAUUGUCUAAUUAUUUCGUCUAUAUUAAUUAUUACAUUUUAUCUUUUACACGCUCUUAAAAAAAUUAUAUAAAAAUAUUAUACUUUUAAGUACUAGUUUUUUUAUUAUAAAUAUUAUUUACUUUAAAAACAAACAACUUUUAAAGAGAAAAAUCGGGAAAAAGGUAAUAAUUCUAACAAAUAAUCAACUUAAUGUGGAUGAUUAUUAUAACAAAUGAUUAUUGGUGGGCUACUAGUCUAUCCCAAUUAUUGAUGUGUUAUUAUUAUUAAGUAUUUUUAAAAAUUUAUGAAUGAUUUUAAACAAUAAUGCAAUUACUAUUAAAAUAUUUCUAUAUCGUUCAAAAAGAAUGAUUGAGAAGGUUUAGGAGAAUGAAUGCAUCUAAUUUCCGGUUAAAUGCAUAUGUUAAUUCAAAAACAAUAUAAAUUACCAUUUUAUAGUAAAAAAAUCUCGAAGGCGAUAUCAUUUGGUUUGAAUAUAAAUUGUGUUAGGAAUUAAUUAUAUAAAUGUAAAUUAUAUUGAAUUAUUUUUUAUGACAGUUUGAUUAGUUAUAUUAAGAAAAAAAAAUGAUAAUUUCUAUGAAGAAGUAGUUGCUUAUAAAAUAUUCUCAACCAUAUAUAUAUAUAUAUAUANNNNNNNNNNNNNNNNNNNNNNNNNNNNNNNNNNNNNNNNNNNNNNNNNNNNNNNNNNNNNNNNNNNNNNNNNNNNNNNNNNNNNNNNNNNNNNNNNNNNNNNNNNNNNNNNNNNNNNNNNNNNNNNNNNNNNNNNNNNNNNNNNNNNNNNNNNNNNNNNNNNNNNNNNNNNNNNNNNNNNNNNNNNNNNNNNNNNNNNNNNNNNNNNNNNNNNNNNNNNNNNNNNNNNNNNNNNNNNNNNNNNNNNNNNNNNNNNNNNNNNNNNNNNNNNNNNNNNNNNNNNNNNNNNNNNNNNNNNNNNNNNNNNNNNNNNNNNNNNNNNNNNNNNNNNNNNNNNNNNNNNNNNNNNNNNNNNNNNNNNNNNNNNNNNNNNNNNNNNNNNNNNNNNNNNNNNNNNNNNNNNNNNNNNNNNNNNNNNNNNNNNNNNNNNNNNNNNNNNNNNNNNNNNNNNNNNNNNNNNNNNNNNNNNNNNNNNNNNNNNNNNNNNNNNNNNNNNNNNNNNNNNNNNNNNNNNNNNNNNNNNNNNNNNNNNNNNNNNNNNNNNNNNNNNNNNNNNNNNNNNNNNNNNNNNNNNNNNNNNNNNNNNNNNNNNNNNNNNNNNNNNNNNNNNNNNNNNNNNNNNNNNNNNNNNNNNNNNNNNNNNNNNNNNNNNNNNNNNNNNNNNNNNNNNNNNNNNNNNNNNNNNNNNNNNNNNNNNNNNNNNNNNNNNNNNNNNNNNNNNNNNNNNNNNNNNNNNNNNNNNNNNNNNNNNNNNNNNNNNNNNNNNNNNNNNNNNNNNNNNNNNNNNNNNNNNNNNNNNNNNNNNNNNNNNNNNNNNNNNNNNNNNNAACCAUAUAUAUAUAUAUAUAUAUAUAUAUAUUUAAUAUAAAAAUGACUUGCGGAAAGUAUUUUGUUAUUUUCAUUAUUUUAUUAUGAGACUUUCAAAUAGAAAUAUCUUAUUUCAGUAUUAUUAUUUCAUUCUCGGAGACUCUCACGGGCCAUAUUCUAUCCCGAAAUAAUUUUCUAAUCAUUUUAUAUCAAAUUUAAUAAUCAAAUAAAUAAUAAAAUAAUAUAUAAAUAUUUAUCUCAAAAUGAUCUAUCAUUGUCCAUCAUAUCAAACAACCCCCAAAAGUAUAUCUAAAAACUUGUUAAAAUAAUAUUAUUUUAACUAUUCAACUUGAGAAAAAAAAAGAAAGAGAACAAUUUCAGUUUCAAAUAAGAAUAAUAAUUUUUUCAAUACUAAUAAUUAAUAAUUUUAAUAUAAUUAUCUCAAAAUUGAUAAUCAAACAAAUAAUAAGUUUUUACAGCAAAUUUAUCUAUCAUUAUCCAUCUUACCAAACAAUAAAGUAUAUCUAAAGACUUACUAAAAUAAUAUUUUUUGACUAUUCAACAUGAGAAAAAAAAAACUAUUUCAAUUUUCAAAUAAUAAUAAUAAUAAUAAUAGUAACGAUCUUUUCGGAAGGGGUAGAAUAUUUGAAACUUGUUGGUUACUCAAUUGAUAUAGGAUUAUCAAUAUGGGACUGCAUCACCUUUAAUUUGAGAUUUUGGGUUCAAACUUUGGAGUAUAAGAAAAAUUGGUUCGUGUCGGGUUCGAAUUUUGAUGUUCAAAAAUUCUAUUAGGAACAUCACUUUCAAAUAAGUUCUGUAAAGUACGAUUUAAAUUUAUUUGAAACUCUAAUGUAUAUUUUGAACUCCGAAUGAAAACACAACAAAAAUUGAUAUAGAAUUAGUUGUAUGUUCAACGCUUUACUAUUAAUAUUAGCUGUACUUAUUUUAAUACUACGAGUAUUAUUUUUUGUUUCUUCUCUUUAAGAAGAAUCGAGAUCAUAAUAAAAGUGCUGAACGGACCAAAGAGAAAAAAAAGAAAGAGUCCUUCUAUAUUCUCGCUCGCCUUUAUUGACGCCUUCCCUCUUUUUUUCGAAAAAAAAUCUAAUUCGCCGGAGAUGAGAAAUAACAAACGUCGUUCUCUGGUGGUCGUUGAUGAUGGCGGCGGAGGAGGAGAUUGGCUGAAUAGAGGCGACGGUGUCGGAAGCGGCGGCUGUUAUAGUCAUGAGAGCGAACCUGACUUGGCUGCUAUGGUGAGUGACUUUCUGGAAAGUAGUAGCGCCGGUGCGGAGUCUAGGUAUAUCAGUGAUAAUGAUCCCGGUUACUCCGAUCUCGCUCUUCUUGCUGAUACGAUUUCGGUGAGUAUUCUGUACAUGUUGUGCUUAUUGCCUUUUGAUUUAUUUAUUUUUGGUGAAAUUGUUGAGUUUGAACAGCACAUAUGAAUGUUUAAUCUGGAGCAAUUAAUGUUGUAAUUGGAGUAAUUCUCAUUUCUGUGAAAUGAAUAGAUAUGCUUAUGUUCGUUAGUCUAGGUGCAUAAAGGAAGCUUGAAUAGAACAGGCAACAGUUUUCUGCAGAGUAAUGAAGGUUGGAAAUGGAAUUAUCCUUGUCUCCGUGUACAUAAAUGUUUAUCCUCAUCGGAUUUUAGUUUUGCAGCUUGUACAGAGGUGUUAGGGGUGAAAUUUGUUCUAGUCUUUUGGUACUCUUGGUGUAUAUGUAGCGAGCUUGAGUAGAGUAGAUACCGGUUCUAUCCAGGAACAAUUAAAGCAUGAAAUGGAGUAAUCCUUGUUUAUUUUUGUUCAUGUUUGUGCUCAUUGGAUUUUUAGUUUUGUAUGCCAUGGAAUUGUUCAAGUAUUUUGUGUAGGUAUAUGCAAAACUAAAAUGUAUAAUAGUGGAGGUGUACAUAAGUUGGCUUAGACACUUUCGAUAUCAACAAAUAAAGAAAUAAUAGUACAGCACAAAUGAUGGUUUCUCCAGAGGAUUAAAAUUUGAGAUGGAAUAAUUAGAGUUUCUUCAUCAUCUGUGCGUUACACGGAUCAUUGUUGAAUCUGUGAAACAUUUUGAAAUUGAUAUUGAUGCCUUUGAAAGAUAGGAAAUAGGAGGUAAGUAAUUUGAUCGGAAUUCUCAAUCGAUGCAUAAUAUAAAUUUUGAAAGUAACAGCUUUUCAGAGCUUGUGGUGAGUUUGUUGGAGUAGAAAUAGGAGAUAAUGAGGAGAAGUUUAAUGGAUUGAGAAUAAGUUUCCGUAGAGUAGAGAAAAGCCAAACAAGCUCAGGAGCUUAGUAGGUUAAAAAAUUCGUACUAACUAUAAGUAUGUAAACAGAAAGGGUAAUAAUGCAGUUACACAAGAGAUGUGAAAGAAAAAUAUUGCAAUUCUGCUUCAUGGCAGAGGUUAAUUUUGAUAAUAGCGUGUUACAAAAGGGCAGUCAAUGUAGAAGCAUGAUCGCAAUGUUCUUGCUCAAUUUACCUGCAUUAACUUCAACUCAGUUUUGGUGAUUGUUCUAAUUAGACAAUGUUUUUCGUUUGAAAUUGCACUCUGUAGGUAGAUACACAAUUUAAUUUAUUCUAUGUUAGUACAAGCUUCUGGAAAUGCAAAAAUGGGCAACCCACUGCCAUAAGCAAACUUACUAUCCUGCACCAAAUGCAGGGGUGAGCAAUAAUACUCCCCUUUCUUUUGGACACUUGAACUGACCCUGCUGACACCUUUCUGGGUAUACAAGGCAUGACUGUCAGUAGCAAGUUCCAGGGAGAUUGUUUUCCUUUUCCAGUAACUGGGGGAUCACAAUGACUUGGAAUGAACAAUUUUAACUGUUGGUAUAGAUAUCUAAAGUAACUGAUUGAUGCAUUAGGACCUGGAGGCUGGAGCUAUCUUUUCCCUCCUCUCUGCUUACCAGUGAAACAGACUUAUUUCUUUUAUUACCAUGUGACGUGUUUUAAAUAACUUCCUCAAUGAUCUAACCUGUCUAGAUACACACUAAGCUUGAGCAGCACAGAUAGAGAUUUAAUCUGGAGCAAUCCUCAUUUCAGUGAAUGGACAUGUUUAUGCUCGUAGGUCUAGGUGCAUCUGAACAAGUUUGAAUAGAACAGAUAGUAAUUUUCUGCAGAGUGAUUAACGUUUGAAAAGGAGUUAUCCUUGUCUCUAUGUAUACACAUGUAUAUCCUCAUCAGAUUUUAGUUUCGCAUGUGGUAUAGAUGUGUUAGGUGUGAAACAUAUUCUAGUGUUUCAGUGUAGGUGUAUAUGUAGCAAGCUUGAAUAGCACUGAUAAGGAUUUCAUCCAGGAACAAUAUAAGUUUGAACUGGAGUAAUCCUUGUUUUUACAUAUGCAUGUCUAUGGUCAUUGAAUUUUUGUUUUGCAUGAGGUUAGCAAUGAAGUUGUUCAAGUAUUUCUGUUUAAGUGAACAAAGUGAGCUCAUGUAAUAGUGAAGGCGUAUAUAGACUAGCCUGGACAAUACUCAUAUCAACAAAUUGAAAAAACGAUAGUAUAUGUUUCUUUGAGGAUUAAAAUUUGAAAUGUGGAAUAACUAGAGUAUUUUCAAUUACCUGUGCAUAGUUCAUGUCAGUCUGAUGUAUCAAUGGAAGUUGUCUGAAGAUGAGAACAAUGUCUUUGAUAAAUAGAGAACAGGAGUCAGAAGUGCUUUGAGCCUUUACAGGCUUGGAAAAAAUGAUUUGUAUUAUCAUCUUUGAAUGACUGUUCCUCCUCGUGAAAUAUAUAUUAGUCAAUGAAACGACUUUCUAAAUGACUGAGAGUUCUGAGCAUAAGACAACUGAAAUUCUAGCUUUCACAUGCUGGCCUGUUUUUCCUGGCUAAAUUUUAAAUAGUGUAUCUUCAUUUGUCAACAAGUGGAAAAAAUCUUAAUAAUGGAACUUCAUGGUAAAUUGUAUCAUUUUGCAGCUGUACAAGAAUUCAGUGGAUCGGUAUGAAAGUGAUCUAACAAUGGUGGUUCAUUCCCUUAUUCUUUCAAUGACCGAAUCUUUUCAUAUUGGCAAGCCCGAAACAUGCAAUGCAAGCUGCAUCAGAUCUUAUCUAGUGAAGCUCCUCCAGUCUUGUGGUUUUAAUGCAGAUAUGUGUGCAACCAAGUGGCAGGGUUGUGGAAAAAUUCCUGGAGGUAUGUUUUUUUCUAAAUUCAAUUCUUGCCUGUGUACUAUAUUAAGAGGUCUAACUAUGAACAUUAUUUAGCUCAAGUAUGAAAGCCUUUGACUGUACAAAUGUUACAGUCUGAACCACUGAGAAUGUAUCCGUAGCCUCUGAAUGGUGUGGUGGCAUUGUGCGCCAUAUGUGUUACUAGUAGUUUCAACUAGAUAACGUGUUCAUGUCGCUGUGUCUUGUGAUUAAAAUAUUUAAAUUUGCACUGUCAAACAUCCUUGUGAGCUAGAUUUCUGGUUGACAUUGUGCUACAUUUCCUCUGUUAUGUAGGUGAACACGAGUACAUUGAGGUGAUCUCCCAUGGAAAUGAUGGAUGCUCCGAAAGGUAUAUCAUUGAUCUUGACUUUCGGAGCCACUUUGAAAUUGCAAGAGCUGUCAAAUCCUACAAUGUGGUCUUGAGUUGUCUUCCACCAGUUUAUGUUGGCACAGUAACAAAACUUAAGCUGUAUCUUCAGGCUAUGGUAGAAGCAGCUAAAUGUUCACUCAAACAGAAUUCAAUGCCUCUUCCUCCAUGGCGAUCCCUUGCCUAUCUAGAAGCCAAGUGGGAGUCCAGUCACAGAGUAGCCAAUGUUCAGGUUCAGAGUAGCGUCAGCUCCUCUAAUUCCUCUCAUCGGCAUUGUACUGAGCUGUUGUGGAGGAUAAAAUCCUGUAUUGGAUCUGAAAUCAAAGCUAAAGGAUUCUUGGUACUUAAGACCUGUAGAAAGAGGCAGGGGCUAAAGAUCGAAUCGAGUCAUUCUUCCCCAGUGACUCCAUGAUCUUGCAUUGAAAAAACACAAUUUUGUUCGACAUCAACUUUUUGAAGGUUUUUGUUCCUCUCUUCAUUUCUACUUCCAUUUUCGACAUUCAACAAAUUACAGAAAGCUUCAACAUGAGGUAAAAUUACUGCGGAUUUAGUUUGUUCUUUUUGUAUCAUAAUAACACUGACUCGGGAGGAUCUUAUUCAUGUGCUACCGCGAUCAAGGUUUUGCAGAGUACAAUUAGAGUUGCAUCUGGUUUUUGUUUUAGCAACUUGCUAGUUGCUACCAUAAUACAGAAUAUAUCAAAUUUUGACUGGGUUUCCCAAUUUUGUACCUUCUUGGUCUAAAGAUCAGAUUCUAUUCGAUUUAUAUUUUAUUUUUUUGAUUCAAUUUUGACAUACGGAUAAUUGAAUAUUUCACGGGAUUUGUGGAAAAAGAAGAAGAUUUUUAGUAGGUACUCAGAUGUGUAAGUGAUGUAUUUUUUAUAUUUUGGUAUGUUUAUUAGUCUUGUGCAACCUUUCGAUGUGUUACUUCUUGCUAUUCAUUAUUUAUGUUUGGUAUUUAGUGUAGCUUAAUGUAUUGUGAUUUCUGGAAUUUGAUUAGACCUUUAGCGUUUCUUAUUAAAAAUUUUUUUUCAUAAUGCCUCUCAAAUCUAACCGACAGAGUUUGUUGGAACAAAAAAGGAUUAAAACUGCAUAGUUUAGUUUAGGCAUAAUACAUAAAGAGGACCUUUAACUUGGCAUCAAUUCACAACUAUUACCCUAAACUUUGCCAGUGCACAAGUAGGCACUUUAACCAUCACAAAUUUAAACAAUUAAACACUCGUAUAUCCCAGGUAAAGUGCGUGCUAUACAAAUGCUUCUACGUGGCUGCCAACUAAUUAAAAUAAAUACACGUGGAUUUUUCAAUUAAAAAACUGAAAAUAAAAACAAAAUAAAUAUCAAUUAACAACUCUGACCCUAUGCUUAUAACGGAGAACAACGUUUUCCUCUUUCUUCUCUACAAAAUCCUAACCUAAUUCUCUACAAAAUCCUAACCCUAAGUUCCUACAUUUCAUCCUUCGAAUCAAAGGUAAAAUUGUUCAAGAAAUUGUGAAGAAAGAGAGGAAAAUGGCAAAAAGUUGUUGAAGAAAUUAGAAAGAAGAGAGUAAAGUGAGAUUUUAUAUAUAUGAAAGAGAUUCAUUAAGGGUAGAAGUGUCAUUUAAGUCGUUUUUUUUACUGUUGGGGACCUUUAUUUUUACCACUGACGCGCCUAAUUGAAGUGUGUUUCACGCACUUUGCCAUGUAGGAUUAGAGUGUUUAAUUGUUAAAUUUUUGGAUAGUUGAAGUGCCUACUUGUGCAAUAGCAAAGUUUAAGGUCAUAGUUAUGAAUUAAUGUCAAGUUAAAGGUCCUCUUUAUGUAUUAUGCCUUUAGUUUAUUAAAAGUUAUAGAAAUAUAUCUCAAUUAUAGUACCAAGUUUACUUGUUAUGCACCGUUAGUGUCAAUUGUCAACUAUUACGAUAGUAACAUGUGCCCCUUGUCAUUGCUUGAUGAUGAUUGAUGGAUAUAUUUACGAUAUUUAUUGGUAUGCUACAUUAUUGAAAGGUGCCUUAUUGAAAUGCAUUUCCUCCGUUAAAAUUUGAGGAUAUUUAAUGGAAAUAUAAACUAUUUGGUGAUGUGUCCCAAUUAGGAUGGAGUUUAGUGGUUUGAAGUCCAUGUGAGACAAAAUUCAAUAUUUAUAAGUUUAAAUAAUUGUAUAAUUUUAUAUAAUAAUGGUAUAUAUAUAUAUACCCAUAAUCUAACAAAUAAGGGAUAUUUAUCCUUUUCAUUAACAAAUAUAUAUUUACUAAAUCAAAAAAUCAAUUCUUAAAUUCAUUUCUUAAUUUAAAAAAUAUCAUGUAACUUAAAAAAUAAACUCAUCUAUUCUUUUACAUAUCAGAGUUCAUACCCAAUGUAAAAUAUCAAAUCCUAUCCCAAUGGUAAUAGCUAAUUACAUCUUAUUUCUAUUUUUUUUUAAAUUAUAAAAAUCUCUUAAAUUUGAUGGAAUCUGGAUACAUCCCAAAAUGUCUCUGUACAUCGAGUUUUGAUUUCAAAUACAUCUCUUAACUUUUCGAUACAUCGUGUCUCGAUUUUGAAUAUAUCACUCAUUAUCUUGAUACACGUACGUCCCGAUACAUAGUGUAAAGUGAUGUAUCCAAGAAUAGAAGAGAGCAUAGAUUUUUAUAAUUUUACAAAUGAUAGAAAAUUUUAAAGAAUAUGAUAAAUAAAUUAUAUGUUUAAGUAAUUUUUCCUUCUUUUGCUCAGUCAUAAAAUAGGUUAAUAUAACAUCUAGAGCCGUCAAAACGGGCUUAGUCCAUGGGGCCGAUCCAAUCCAAUCCGUUAUUGGGGUAGGGUUGAGAAAAGAUUUUUCAAGCCCAUUUGAAACUAGGGCUUGAUCGGGGCCGAGCCAAGGUCGGCCCAUGGGCCAAAUUUUUUUAUUUAAGAGUAACUUACGAUAAUCUCACUAGUAUAUAAUCUAAUUACUUAAAUACACACUAUGUUGUAAUAUUAUGAAUCUUACCAGAUUUUGGUAUGUCCAGAUAUGUAUAUCUCGGAAUAUAUGGACUCAAAAUCAAUUUGUUCUAGAUACACUCUAUCCAAGUAAAUUCGCAUUCAUCUAGGAUACAUAGACAAAUCUCGUGCCCUCGCCUCCAUCCCAUCUUGAUGUUCACUCUUUUAUCUCCCUCGCGUAUCUGGUAUGCGAGAUACAUGCUAAUUACACUAGAUUUUUUGCUAGUUUUAUUGAAACAAACCAUUGUUUGUCAUAUUUGAUUUGAAAAUUUCCUCAUUUUCUUGAUGUUACAGAACUAUAAGUUUGAAAAGAAAAAAAAAAGUAAAAAAAAAGUAGGGCUAGCCCGCCCCAACCCUCGACCCUUCUAAGGUUGGGUUGGGUUGAACAUUUUCAGGCCCUUCCAAAUGAAGGGUCGCCCGCCCUAGCCCUUCAAAUUCCUUGGCCCAUGAGGUUUGGACCGGGUGGGGCUAGGCCGACCCUUUUUUUGACAGCUUUAAAUUAACAUCUAAAUAAAAGAGAGAUAAUUUUUUAAAAAAAAUUUAAUUAAAUUUAUUAAUAAAAAUCAUUAUAAAUAUACAUUACUCCCUCCAUCCCAUUUGAUGUGUCACUUUUCAGAUUUUGAGAUUCAAACAAAUCUAACUUUGAUCAUAAAUUUUUCAUAGUUCUUUUAAACAUUUAGAAUUAUCAAUUAUUGCGACUUAUAGUACUUUUUAUGUAGUUUACAAAUAUAUAAAUUUCAUUUCAAAAAAAUUAAAAAUUUCAUGUGCAAAUUUCCAAUUAAAUUUAAACUGUUUGAUUUCGAAAAAGGAAAAGUGUCGUGACAGAGGCAGCAUUUAUUAGACACAAACAUUGAUAUUUGCAUGCAUCGAAAAAGGCGAAACAAACAAAAACUGAUAAAAAAAAAGAAAAGGAAAAUCGGAGUGUGUAGAAGAUAACAAGAAGAAAAGAUGCCUCGGAGUCGAUUUGCAGGAUCAUUGAUUUCUCCAAAGGUGGAUGUUUACAUUGAUAUGGGAAACCCUUUUCUAAAUCACACUGUUGAUGCUUUCUUGAAGAUCGGCACUGUAAAUUUUCUCUAAAUUCAUUUUCAUUUCUUCCAAAAAAAAAUUCGAUCUUGUGAAAAUGGGUUUGCUUAAUUUUUAUCCUAAUUUUAGGUUGCUGCCACCAAAACUGUUGCUGAAGAAACUUACGGAAUAGUCACUAGAGGUUUGAUUUUUAGUGCUCUCAUUCCAUUUCUUGAAUACCCAAUUUCAAAUUAAUCAUUCAUCUUUAAUUAUUACUCUCCCUGUCCCUAAUUACUUGUUCACUUUUGAAUUGAUUAAGAAAUCAAUAAUUAACAUAGUGAGUUAAACAUUUUAGCCUAUUAAUUAUGAAGUGGAUGAAUUAAAAGCUCUAAAGAUUUUCAAAAAGUUUCACCUUUUUCAAAAUAAUUAAUUGAUGGUAUAAUAUAUAAAAAAAUUGUCCUUUGUUGAUUUGUUGAAAUGGACAAAUAAUUAUGAACAACUAAGAAAAGCAAAGUGAACAAGUAAUUAGGGAUAAACGAAAGUGGACAAAUUAGGGAGAAGGAGUAUUGAUUAUGUGUUGGGAGUGACUAGAAUAUGACCUAUGUUACAUUACAUGGACUUGUAUAGACAGCUAUAAUUACCCUAUACUGUUUUUCUGGUUUUUUUUUUUUUUUUUUUUUUUUUUUUUUUUUAACGGUGGUGAUUGGACCAGCUUUUGAUAACCUCCGUUAAUUCCAUGUGUCCACCUCCCACCAACAAAAAUGAUAACGGUGGUGAUUGGACCAGCUUUUGAUAACCUCCGUUAAUUCCAUGUGUCCACCUCCCACCAACAAAAGGUUGGAGGAAAUUCCGUCACCAAGACUAAUACAUAUGAGAAAAGUUCACCUAGUGUUUUUUUUGCCUUUGUUGAGAUUUGAACCUCAAACUCUAUGGUUCUCAACCUACUUUAUUGAUACUAGGCCACAUCCUUAAAUGUCAUAGUUAUUAAUUUUUUGGGUAACGGUUAAUGCUUUUACUGUUUAGUCCAAUGACUACACUAAGCAUCAUCACUAUUAAUAGUUGAGGUAAAAAUCCAAUAUUCUAUUUUUGUUCUUUUGAUCUUUUUCUCGUGUUAUGGUAAAGUGUUAGUUCCUAAGUUUUUAAGUUACAAGCUUUUAUAUAUAGAAAUAGCCAGACUAUUCAGCUCACUAUUUUGCAAUCAACAUGGUCUUUGCAGGCAGUGUUUCGAGUCACAACUUUGAGAAAUCGGUAAGCAUGCCUUAAUUAGUGUUACAUCAUUUACUAUAUUUGUGCAAAAUUCUAGUUGAUUGUUUUAGAGGUGUUGUCUAUUCAGUUCUAUAUAAGGGAGAUGUUUUCUAAUAAUUUGGAAAAUGAAGUCUCAAAUUUCUAUCAUUCUUUCCGUCCUAGGGAUAACAUUUCUCUACCGUGUUUAUCCUAUGCAUCUCUCUCAAGUAGUGUUGUCUUCUUUACCUUACAAUGUGUCUGCUGAUAAGUUCAGUCCUGGUGAGGGAGGUGAACAAUAUAUUUUAGCCACACAAAUCAUACCGUUAUUCCUGUUGAUUAUCGUACCAAUUACAGGCUCCUACGUACGUCCUCUCUCCGUAUCCAACUGUAUCUCAGCUAGUUUUCCUCUACCUGGGACUAAAUAGUUUAAUCCGUUCUAUGUGA
rnacentral:lncRNA from 1 species